CGGUAACAGAUCCAGCUUGCUGGAUGCUGACGAGCGGCGGACGGGUGAGUAAUGCAUAGGAAUCUGCCCGAUAGUGGGGGAUAACCUGGGGAAACCCAGGCUAAUACCGCAUACGUCCUACGGGAGAAAGGGGGCUCCGGCUCCCGCUAUGGGAUGAGCCUAUGUCGGAUUAGCUAGUUGGUGAGGUAACGGCUCACCAAGGCCACGAUCCGUAGCUGGUCUGAGAGGAUGAUCAGCCACAUCGGGACUGAGACACGGCCCGAACUCCUACGGGAGGCAGCAGUGGGGAAUAUUGGACAAUGGGGGAAACCCUGAUCCAGCCAUGCCGCGUGUGUGAAGAAGGCCCUCGGGUUGUAAAGCACUUUCAGCGAGGAAGAACGCCUAGCGGUUAAUACCCGCUAGGAAAGACAUCACUCGCAGAAGAAGCACCGGCUAACUCCGUGCCAGCAGCCGCGGUAAUACGGAGGGUGCGAGCGUUAAUCGGAAUUACUGGGCGUAAAGCGCGCGUAGGUGGCUUGAUAAGCCGGUUGUGAAAGCCCCGGGCUCAACCUGGGAACGGCAUCCGGAACUGUCAAGCUAGAGUGCAGGAGAGGAAGGUAGAAUUCCCGGUGUAGCGGUGAAAUGCGUAGAGAUCGGGAGGAAUACCAGUGGCGAAAGCGGCCUUCUGGACUGACACUGACACUGAGGUGCGAAAGCGUGGGUAGCAAACAGG
rnacentral:rRNA from 1 species